rnacentral:rRNA from 1 species
CCUACGGGUGGCAGCAGUGAGGAAUAUUGGUCAAUGGGCGAGAGCCUGAACCAGCGAAGUCGCGUGAAGGAUGAAGGAUCUAUGGUUUGUAAACUUCUUUUAUAUGGGAAUAAAGUGAGGCACGUGUUCCUUUUUGUAUGUACCAUAUGAAUAAGGAUCGGCUAACUCCGUGCCAGCAGCCGCGGUAAUACGGAGGGUCCGAGCGUUAUCCGGAUUUAUUGGGUUUAAAGGGUGCGUAGGUGGUUGAUUAAGUCAGUGGUGAAAGUUUGUGGCUCAACCCUAAAAUUGCCGUUGAAACUGGUUGACUUGAGUAUAGUAGAGGUAGGCGGAAUUCGUGGUGUAGCGGUGAAAUGCAUAGAUAUCACGAAGAACUCCGAUUGCGAAGGCAGCUUACUGGACUAUAACUGACACUGAGGCUCGAAAGCGUGGGGAUCAAACAGGAUUAGAUACCCGAGUAGUC